GAUGAACGCUAGCGGGAGGCUUAACACAUGCAAGUCGAGGGGCAGCAUAGGGUAGCAAUACUCUGAUGGGCGAACCGGCAAACGGGUGAGUAACGCGUAUGCAACCUACCCUGUACAGGGGGAUAACCCGGAGAAAUUCGGACUAAUAUCCCGUAAUAAGUAUCCGGAGGCAUCUUUGGAUAUUUAAAGUUCCGACGGUACGGGAUGGGCAUGCGUAACAUUAACUGGUUGGUAAGGUAACGGCUUACCAAGGCUAUGAUGUUUAGGGGUCCUGAGAGGGUGGUCCCCCACACUGGUACUGAGACACGGACCAGACUCCUACGGGAGGCAGCAGUGAGGAAUAUUGGUCAAUGGGCGCAAGCCUGAACCAGCCAUCCCGCGUGCAGGAAGACGGCCCUAUGGGUUGUAAACUGCUUUUCCAGGGAGAGAAACUUACGCACGUGUUGCGUGACUGACGGUACCCUGGGAAUAAGCAUCGGCUAACUCCGUG
rnacentral:rRNA from 1 species